GGCAAUUCAGCGACCCUCUCGCUGAGGCCCUGGAAGCUUCUGGCAGCCACUAGAUUCUCAGAGGUGGUCACUCACAGACGCCUGAGCUCUACCAUGUCGGCCCAACCGCCCUUGUGCUGACCUUCGGCCUCCUCACUCCCUCUCCGCAUGACCCUCUGAGGACCUUCUCUUCCCUGCAGGGCCCACAUUGACACCACCCAUGUCCCCACUAGGACGUGAAAGCCAUGGGCAUGGGGCCUGGCCGGGCUUAUUAGCUGCUGGGUCCCCAGCACCCAUGAAGGAAUGAGUGAAGGAAUGAAGGAGAGAAUGAGUGAAUGAGCGAACGAGUACAUUAGCUGCGCAAACACCAGCCCCUUCUAGAGCGCGGUUCUCACUGUCGCGACCCCACGAGUGACCCAGGAGCGUGUAGAAGGCAAAGGCCUGGGCCUCUCUCGCUCCUAGUUCUGACCGGGAGUCUGGGCAGGGUCCAGGCAUCUGCGUUAUGGACCAGGCCUUCCAGAGGCUUCCGACCUGAGUCAGGUGAGGUCCCCUCUGGUAGAAAGACGCUCUUCCAGGACAGCAGAGCGCGGAGCUGGAAGCCGUGUCCCUCUCGCCCCCUCCAGCCUGGGCUCCUGACAAACUGCUCAGACUGCAAUGCAGGAGCCAUUUCCCACUCUGCUCCCCUCUCUCUGCGCCACUCAGGGAUCCCGAGAGGACCCAGAUGAGGAUGCGGCUCCAGCUGUCUUCCUUCUGCAAACCCCUGAGGAUUCCUCUCCAGGGAGGAUUUUGAGUGGGGCAUGAGGAAUAUGCGUGUCUUCCAGGGAGAGGCUGUCUGAGACCACAAGCAGGGAGGGAGAUCCGUGUUCAGAGAGGCUGUUUGUCACCAGUGGGGGUCGGCGUGGUCAGGACGGGCCGGCGGAGGACCUGCAGGACUGGACAGAGCGGACGGGUGUGGACAGCUCUCCUCCCCUCUGCUCAGGGUGCAUCGUAGUGCAGGCCGGCGUCCCGGGUGUGCUGCUCUCGCCUGUGGCCGGAGGGGGUGGGUUUGUGGGCCUGGAGGAGCUGGCGGGAGGCCCCAGUCUGGGUGGGACGAGCCCGGCAGGGCAAGACCAGAGUGGGUGGAGUUGGGGACUGGAGGGCUCCCUGCAUCCAGCCCUCUGCGUGCUCUCUGCCGGCAUCGGGGUGCACAAGCCCACCAGCUCCCCAGACACACAGGAGCACGCAUGUACACACUCAGACACACACACAGACACACAGGAGCAUGCAUAUACACACACAGGCACACAUACAGACACACAGGAGCACAUGCACACAACCAUACACACAGGAGCACGUGUGUGCAUGUACACACACACACUACAAAGACGCGCUCCCGUGUGGUGCGUGUGUGUCUGUGUGUGUGCAUGCGUACACAUACACACACAUUCAGCAGCACAUUUGUCCACAUGUGCAUGGGAGCAUGCGUGCACACACAGGAGCACAUGUGCACGCACACACAGGAGCUUGUGUGUACACACACAGGAGCACAGGUAUGUGCACACACGUGGGAGAACACACACACACAGUGCUGGAACACCAUCACCAGCAUGCUGUCAGCUCCCCCCUGUUGGAAGGCGCUGCCCGAGUUGUCCCAUACCUCCCCCAUCAGCACACUUCGAGAAGCGGGUCCUGACCAGCUCCAGUCCAUUGCGGGAAGCAGCCCUCAGACACGGGGACAGCUGCGGGCUCAUGGUCCUGAGAACCUGGCUCUCCUGCCACUGGGAGGGCUCACGGAGGACGCCUGGAACCCCCUCCGUCACCUCUUCAGACAGUCAGGAGCCUGCUUUCCCCAAAACUGGAAGGUUGGAGCCAUAGGAAAUGUCCCCAUCAUAUCAGAAAACUGAGGACUCUGCAGAAUGUUCUGGAACCUUCAGUGAGUGGGAGCUGCUGAUGCUGGUGACGGAGACUGGACAGGCUGUGAGGGGAGCAUGGGGACCUAGAGAAGCUUUGGGGACACAUCGGCACAUUUACAAUUUGUGCCUAAAUUUGCUCCUCCUUGGAGACCUGGCCAGGCUCAGAGCGAUCAACAGACAGGACGCCUGUCGCCAGUCAGUCAAUCGCUUGAUCGCUGGAUGAGUCAGUGGAUCAAUGCGCCGACUGCCCUCUGAACCGAGGGUGUGUUUCCUGGGACGGGAAGAUGGUGAGGAGGCCCGACGCGCCCUGUGCGCUCAGCGCCCUGCUCCCCCAGCCAGCGGCGGCCUGGAAUGGGUGACCCCGGACCGAGGUCAGAUGGCCUGCACUGCGUGGGAUCCCUGUGGUCUAUUUCCAGCUCCGGCCUCUGGCCCUGCACACACAGGGGCAUUGAAGGAAGCUGCUUGUAGCAUGAGACAUCCGCCCUGUGGCCCUUCCUGCAGCUGUGUCCUCACUAAGGGAAGGUGACCGAGCCCAGAGUGGGAGGGGUCGGAGGGCCCAGCUGUGAGUGUGGACCAGGCUGAGGCCUCAUCACCAGCCAGGAGGCUCCCUGGAGACCCUGGGGCCAGAAUGACCUCCCUCUACAACCUCCCCUGGCUCCCCAUUGCUGUGCAGGGGAGUCCAUGCUCCUCACCCAAGGUCCCCAUCAUAACCUCCAUCAGACGCGCCCCCACUCCUCCUGGGCUUGACCCUUGACCCCCACCCUCUGUCUCU
ensembl:lncRNA